GUAGAGGAUUAGCGUUACCUCCUGUGCUUGGUUCUGGCUGAGCUACAGGAAGUUGGACAUCCGGGAUGAUUGUUUGGUUAGUGGAUUCCAGAUUAUCCAACUGGUUGUUAAUAGUGGCUACUGAAGCCACCAGAGAGCAUCUUAUGUAGGUCUGACAGACUAUUUUGGAUAUUACAUUCACUUAACAGGAAAUUAAUUAUUCCAG